UUCUUCUUUCAGCAUCUUGUUUCAAGAGCCAUAUUUUCCUUGAAUGUUGCCUGUCAGCUAAAGUAGGCAAGUUAGUUGCAAAUGUUCUUGAUUUACUCCGUAAGUAUGCUAGUUCUUCCUAGAUUUAUUUAAUGAGUUUGCUAGCCUUCUUCAAGUGUCUUGAUCUUAAAAACUCUUUUCGUUUUGCUUAAAAUAUACAGUCAGAUCGUUUCUUCAAUGCUCUUAAAGGUCAUGGUGCACUUUGUCGCCUUGUAAUUCUACCAUAUGAGAGUCAUGGUUAUGGAGCACGAGAGAGUAUAAUGCAUGUACUCUGGGAGACUGAUAGGUGGCUCCAAAAGCAUUGUGCCUAUUCUUCUGAUGUCAAGGCAGAUCUCAAUGCGUGCAAGGACAAUGCAGAAGGGACAGUAGAUUCACAAAGCAAAGCUGUUGGUGCUGCUGGAGGUGUUCAAGAGCUUGCAAAUUUGGAUGAUGACAAAUUUCACUCUAUCAGAAGGUCAUUAUUGUCGCCUAUUCUUCAGAUGUCAAGGCAGAUCUCAAUGCGUGCAAGGACAAUGCAGAAGGGACAGUAGAUUUACAAAGCAAAGCUGUUGGUGCUGCUGGAGGUGUUCAAGAGCUUGCAAAUUUGGAUGAUGACAAAUUCCACUCUAUCAGAAGGUCAUUAUUGUGGUAAUUUCUUAUUUCAUGA
rnacentral:lncRNA from 1 species